AGGAUGAACGCUGGCGGCGUGCCUAACACAUGCAAGUCGAACGAGUCGCAAGACUAGUGGCGAACGGGUGAGUAACGCGUAGGAAUCUGCCCCGAACAGGGAAAUACCCAGCCGAAAGGUUGGCUAAUGUCCCAUAAUCUCGCAAGAGCAAAGGCGUAAGCCGGUUUGGGAGGAGCCUGCGUCCUAUCAGCUAGUUGGUGAGGUAAUGGCUCACCAAGGCUAUGACGGGUAGCUGGUCUGAGAGGAUGAUCAGCCACAAUGGAACUGAGACACGGUCCAUACACCUACGGGUGGCAGCAGUUGGGAAUAUUGCACAAUGGGCGAAAGCCUGAUGCAGCGACGCCGCGUGGAGGAAGAAGGCCUUCGGGUUGUAAACUUCUUUUAUGUGGGACGAUAAUGACGGUACCACAUGAAUAAGGGCCUGCUAACUACGCGCCAGCAGCCGC
rnacentral:rRNA from 1 species